CUUUAUAUCCCACUACGUUCAGAUAAAAC
rfam:Bacillus smithii strain DSM 4216, complete genome.